GCCAGGUUGCUCUGAGUUCGCCAUCCUGGAUUUUCACUGUGUCGACAUUGGCAGCAACUCAUCUGUGGAGCGGUUGAGCUUCCCUCCUCUUGCCAUAAUCUGUGGAACCAUGCAAGCUCAUUUGAGCUUUUACCUGGUUGUGGCCGGAGCUGAAGCCCUCAUCCCUGUCCUUGCCAUUCCAAACCACUUACCACAGCACGAGCAUGAGAAUCGCUGUGAGGACUGCAUUGAUACAGUCAACUUAAUUACUUUCAUUUGUAAAUAAACACUGUUAAAGCUGUUAACAAUCUAUAUUGGAGUAAAACAGUUUUGCACACCAUGGUUUUCAUCGAUUAACCGACCUACACCACACAUAUUUAUGACAGCUUAGAAGUCAUUAUACAGACUUGACCUCCAGCUCCGGGUAACAUGAUGAAAUUUGUUUCAACAAGAUCAUGUGAUACAAGUACAUCCUUAGGUAUAUUUCCUGCUGUAGAGUACAUUUAAGUGGGUUCUUGAUUUUUUUAUGAUUUAAAAAAAAGGCAGCGAUGUAGUUAAUUAGCUAGCUAAUAUAAGAAUGUUGCUACAUGUACAUGUAACAGUAAGAUAUGUGACUGACAUUAGAGCAGAUCAGGGCUGACCUCAGUAAGGACGCUGCUGCCUCUGGAGGAUGAUCAAAUCUAAAACUGAGGCAGCAGGGGGAGUCUGAACUUGUACAGAAAUCA